GGGGCGCGGAGGCAGGGGAGGGGCGAGGCUUAGAGGCGGCGCCGCGGCGCCUAUAAAGUCGCCCUCCGCCCGGACAUAAACAAACCUCGCCCGGCUCCCCGCCGUCGCACCGGAGAGCGCGCCGAUCCUUACUUCUCCCCAGUGUUGUCUCUGGACGCUGCGCCACCACCCUAGCCACCGGCUCCUUUCCUCUCUCCCUCUGAUUUAGGUAAGCCUGGCACCCUCUUCCUCCCCGGCACAGCGACAGCAGAAAGGGGUUUCUUGGGAGUGCUGUUGCGGCGCUUGGCCCGCCCUUUGUGGACCGCAGGCUUCGGGAGCGAGCGCUAUGGAGCUGCCAGAGCAUGGUGACCCAAAGGCGCGGGCGAGGGAAGGAACUCUG
rnacentral:lncRNA from 1 species